rnacentral:rRNA from 1 species
GACGAACGCUGGCGGCAGGCUUAACACAUGCAAGUCGAGCGAGCGGCGGACGGGUGAGUAAUGUCUGGGAAACUGCCUGCUGGAGGGGGAUAACUACUGGAAACGGUCUCUAAUACCGCAUACUAUCGGAUGAACCCAUAUGGGAUUAGCUAGUAGGUGGGGUAAAGGCUCACCUAGGCGACGAGCUCUAGCUGGUCUGAGAGGAAGAUCAGCCACACUGGGAGUGAGAGACGGCCCAGAGUGCUACGGGAGGCAGCAGUGGGGAAUAUUGCACAAUGGGCGAAAGCCUGAUGCAGCGACGCCGCGUGGGGGAUGAAGGCUUUCGGGUUGUAAACCUCUUUCGCUAUCGAACGGGUAGGUGGAGAAGAAGCGCCGGCUAACUACGUGCCAGCAGCCGCGGUAAUUC